GGACGAACGCUGGCGGCGUGCUUCAUACAUGCAAGUCGAACGAUAAGGUCUCUUCGGAGAUACAUAAGGUGGCGGACGGGUGAGUAAAAUGUAGAGAAUCUGCCCUAGAGAUGGGGACAACAGUUGGAAACGACUGCUAAUACCCAAUAUGAGCGUAGUUGAAAUACUAUUCUUGAAAACUCCGGUGCUCUGGGAUGAGUCUGCAUCUGAUUAGCUAGUUGGAGGUGUAAUGGACCACCAAGGCGACGAUCAGUAGCUGGUUUGAGAGGAUGAUCAGCCACAAUGGGACUGAGACACGGCCCAUACUCCUACGGGAGGCAGCAGUAGGGAAUUUUGCGCAAUGGGGGAAACCCUGACGCAGCCAACGCCGCGUGAAUGAAGAAGCCCUUCGGGGUGUAAAGUUCUGUCAGUAGGGAAGAAUAAAUGACUGUACCUACAGAGGAAGCAUCGGCUAACUCCGUGCCAGCAGCCGC
rnacentral:rRNA from 1 species